UGAGAACAUGGAAAGAAAGAGAAAUAAAUGGGAACAAUAGAAAAAGAAAAAUGAGAAAGUCUUAGAGGGAAAUUUUUAGUUAAGACAGGGGGAAGGAUCUGAAGAAGAGUGAGGCAGUGGUCCCUUAUCAUCUACUCUUCCACUGUACCCCAAAAUGCCAAGAGAGAACUAUUCUGUUAGUGGAGGAGGAAAUAGAGCUCAUGUAUUUCAUCAAAAUAUCUCUGAAAGAAGACACAACCUCAAUGAAAACAAAAAGAGGAAAUUAAAAACAGAACACAAAUAAUGGAAAGCAACUGCCUUUCUUCCAGAGAUGAUGAGAAAACUGGCCAUUUGGAGGAGGAGGAAGAGAAGAUAAAAAAAGAGGAAACUGAGGUUGGAAAGGGGGCUGACUUCUCCUUAUAUUAUCUCUAUUACUGUUAUCCUAGUUACAGAGCUAUCCAUCAUAAAAUCUAUGAACAAAUAUAAAUGACGUCUGAGAAACUAGAUCACAAGACACUUUAAUAUUUCAUGAACUUCUAACCUAGAUCAGGAGUAUGUUGAAGCAUCCAUAAAAGAUUCAAUGAGCCUUUUUUGUGUAUAGAUAUAUUUAGAUGAUAAUUGUUAAUUUUCAAUGACAUUUAUACCUCCUUAAUGGAUAAAUCCUACAAACUAGGGUUUUU